rnacentral:rRNA from 1 species
GAAAGGAAGAUUAAUACAAGAUGGCAUCAUGAGUCCGCAUGUUCACAUGAUUAAAGGUAUUCCGGUAGACGAUGGGGAUGCGUUCCAUUAGAUAGUAGGCGGGGUAACGGCCCACCUAGUCUUCGAUGGAUAGGGGUUCUGAGAGGAAGGUCCCCCACAUUGGAACUGAGACACGGUCCAAACUCCUACGGGAGGCAGCAGUGAGGAAUAUUGGUCAAUGGGCGAGAGCCUGAACCAGCCAAGUAGCGUGAAGGAUGACUGCCCUAUGGGUUGUAAACUUCUUUUAUAAAGGAAUAAAGUCGGGUAUGGAUACCCGUUUGCAUGUACUUUAUGAAUAAGGAUCGGCUAACUCCGUGCCAGCAGCCGCGGUAAUACGGAGGAUCCGAGCGUUAUCCGGAUUUAUUGGGUUUAAAGGGAGCGUAGAUGGAUGUUUAAGUCAGUUGUGAAAGUUUGCGGCUCAACCGUAAAAUUGCAGUUGAUACUGGAUAUCUUGAGUGCAGUUGAGGCAGGCGGAAUUCGUGGUGUAGCGGUGAAAUGCUUAGAUAUCACGAAGAACUCCGAUUGCGAAGGCAGCCUGCUAAGCUGCAACUGACAUUGAGGCUCGAAAGUGUGGGUAUCAAACAGGAUUAGAUACCCUGGUAGUCCACACGGUAAACGAUGAAUACUCGCUGUUUGCGAUAUACUGCAAGCGGC